rnacentral:tRNA from 1 species
UCCCUGGUGGCUCAGUGGGGUUAAGGAUCUGGCAUUGUCACUGCUGUGGCACAGGUUCAACCCCUGGCCAGGGAA